CUCACAGAGAUCCACCUGCCUCUGCCUCCUGAGUGCUGGGAUUAAAGGCGUGUGCCACCAUCACCCCAGUUGAAAGUCACUCUUGACUAUCCAGUCUACUUUUUCUUCCUUUGUCACUCACCCCCCAUCCAGCUCUUUCUGGAAUGAAAUGUUUCCUGAUUCUAGAACCAGAAAAUGAAGCUACUUUUCUCCUUGGCGAGUGUGAGGCUGUGAAGGCUACAGGAGCAGCAGGCUGUCCCACUGGGCUUCUCCAGAGCAGGGGCACCAGGUCAUAGAAAGACUACAGAGAGAGCUUUCUAUUUCCUGCUGAGCCCUGACGACUCUGCUUUACGGUGACUGAGGAACUGCUAGGAGCCAGCAUGUGCCACAUCUUGCCCACUGAAGUUCUUUGUCUCUUUGGGCCUGAGUUCAGCAUCCUCACCUGUAAAAUUGGGGCUGCAGACGAGAUCUGCCUGACAACGACACCAGCGAACACUUCCAAGAACUCCAGACUUCUGUUAACAAGCCAAAUCCACGAUAUUUUUGCUACGGCAGCCUGUGCAGUAUAACACACUGAGAAAUGUCCUAGGCCACACCAAUGCUGCUCUAACCCUCAGAAAGAGGGUCUUUGAACAGGCUGAAGACCACGAAUUUGGCCCCUGAAGUUUCUCCAGCCCUUGGAGGAGCAACGUGGCUGUGUGCCUUGUUCCCCAGACUUUCCUUUCCGUGGCAGAGAACACAUUUCCUGAGAUGGGCUUGAGGUCAUCUUUUUCCUCUGGUUGGGAAAUUCUGAAAGCAUGAGGUGUGUCCCACCUUCUGACAUUAUAAGGUAAGGCUGCCAUCUGCAACAUUCACUCUCAAGAACUGCUCACUCAAGCACAGCUGAGUGAAAAAAAAAAAAGAUCAUAAAAACCCGCUCAUAGCUGCUCAGUUGAGCUCAUGGGUUUUGCAUUGGGCUGUUGGCUGGCAGCAUCUGUGACAACUCAGCCGACCAGCUAUUUAUAGGGCACUCGUUUACCUGUAUGGGGUGUUAGAAGCGACCUAGAGGGGUUGGAAAGUAUGCAGGAGGGUGUGCAGGUGCUCCCCAAGUGUUACAGCAUCCUAUGUAAGGGACCGAGUCGCACGGAUGAAGACACCAGUGCCAAGUGGGGCUUGACGUCUGCAUUUUCCCGGUCUCUGGUGGUUCUGACUGGACUCCAACGAGAACAGCAUUGCUUUAGGUAGACAGAAGUGCAGUUUCCUUCAUAGCCAGUCAGUCUGUAGAAUAAGAAGGUUUACAGAUAAUGAACCAAGGACACCGGCAGAGUCAGUGAGAUCAUGUGGGUCCCGGUUGCAAAUGGUCUGUCUGAGGACAUUUUUCCACGUCAUCUCAUAACUCAGAUUUUGAUAUUUCUUGAAAAGGAAUCGAUGUGUCUGGCAGUCCUGAGGUACCAUAUUCCCAGGGGAAUGAGCCACCCUAAUGCCUCGAGACAGGACUCACCAGGUAGCUCUGACCCCCCUGUUUGCAUCACCUUGCCCACAGUUAUAAGAAUUUUGGAUUUCAGUUCCUAGGUGUGAGCGGAGCCCAUACACUACAGCCUGGAGAAACGGCUAACUUCGUAUAUUACCUUGGUGAGGCCAUCCAUACCAACUGUAGUCUGGAUGCUGCUGUGGAUUUUUUUUGCUUGCUUGUUUAUUGUGACAGGCUCUCACCCUGUAUCUCUGGCCGUCCUAGAUCUUGAAAUGUAAACCAGGCUGACAUUAAACUCACAGAGCUCCUCCUGCCUGUUCCUCCAAAGUACCAGAAUUAAAGGCAUCUGUCACCAUGCCACACGUGGAUAUCUUUCUAAAGAUAAGGUUUAUUUACAGACAAGGCUAGCCCUUAACUCCCUGCAUAGAUGAGGCUGACCCUCGAGCUUAAUCUUCCCACUGCCUCGUGAGCAUGAGUAUGCACGGGUUGCCACCUGCUUUAAGAACAAAAACAAAACCAGAGCCAUGGUGCCUUGGGCUUUGUACAUGCUAGGCAAGCCCUCUACCGCCCGAGCUACACUCCAGUCUUCUGCAAAGAUGUUUUUGAAGUUAACACUUCACCGGCGGACCUUGAAGGAAGCCGAUUAAAGCCUCAUCCAAGCAGGUGCUGAUGAUCUCAAGAGGAAAAGGAUUGACUCCUUUGAGGGGAAGGGAGUUUGCCUGCAGUGUUUUUAGACGUCACCUCGUCACUGGCCUCCAGACUGCGGACCCACCAUGUCGACUGUGGGCUUGCCAGCUUCCAUAACUGUGGGGACCAAUUCCUUAAAAUCUCUCUUUCCUCUGUUCCCCUUUCCUCUCCUCUUUCUCCCUCUCCUCUCUCUCCAUUAGCAUCACCAGCAAUAAGACAUAUUAGCAUCACGAACCCUUUGAUAUCAUAAGGACACAUAGCAUUUUAAUGGUAUUCUUUCAAAAAAAUAUAUGUCUGUCUUAGUUAGGUUUUUAUUGCUGUGAAGAGACACCAUGCUUCUGGACAUGUUGGGGUACUGAGGUCUAUUUGUGAGUAGCCGGCGUAGUGGGGAGUGCAGGGAUGUAGGGUUCAUUCUUUCAAAAAGUGACCAUUUUCUGGUGCAGCCUGGGAGCUAUGCCUUCAGAGACAGAGGCGGCAGCUAAUGAGUAAUGUUACUGUAAUAAUUGUAAUAAUAAACAGUAAUCAGUCACAUGCCACACUGAUAUCAAUAACAGUAUUUACUGAGUGUUAUUAUUACAUACUACGAGGUUCUGCACUCAGGACCAAGUUGAAUGUACUGAAUCCUACUUAGUAUUUGGAAUUGCCUAGUGUGGCCAUUGCUGUUUUCAUCACAGGGUUCCAAGGACAGAGCAGUCACAGGAAGGAACAAACCUGCUGAAGGUUACCUAGCUCCCGGGGGCCAACACAAGAUAUGAAGUGGAAAGCUGAGGAUAGUGGUGGGUCCCGCCAGCAUCACACCUACACAUCCUGAGGCUGGCAUAGAUUUUUGAUCUCCAGUAGUGGGCAGGAGCCAGGGUCUCUUCUGGAGCAUGAAGGGGAAGGCUGAAGGGGAAGGGUGAGAGAUGGCUUAUUUUACCCAGUCCCUGUUAUCCGCUCCAGGUGAGAAUACCCGUGAAGGUCACCUCCACUCCAGGUGAGCCACCUGGAUCCCUAUACACCACCGAUCUCAAAGGGACCUGGGGAUUCCUGUGUCUAGCUUGUACUUCAUAGAGCUGUCCUGGUGUUGGGUCCUGGGAGACUUCGCGUAGCUGCCCUUUCUUUUCCCACCCUGUGUCCAUUAUUCUGAAACCAGAAUUUCUUAAAAUAGUGGUGCCUGCAGGAGCAAGCUUUGCUGUUUUCAACAUCUCCCAUGCCUCACUGAACAUAUGUGGCCGGGAUGUCACAUGCCACAUGCUAGGUGCCCUGUGGGUGUGCUGUGCCACCUGGGCCACAUCAGUCCACUGGAUUCUUGCUUGGAUACCAUUGUGUUGUCAAAUUGCUCUAACGGGGUCAACUCCUCUCUGUCAGCCCAUGGUAAAGCAGAGGCUCCAGGUAGAACCUCAGCACCCGAGGGGGCUGCAUUCCCCGUGAGCACAUACCCCCAAACCCCAUCUCGAUAGCCAGGCACUAAAUGCCACUUAUGGGAUUUUGGUUUCUCUACUCAGAGAACAUGUCACUGCAGUAACAUUUUUGCAAGUGGUCACAGAUUUCUCUGUCUAGGAGUGGCUCCAGCAGCCAUCAUAACAAUGCUAAUGACCUCUGGUAGUGGCGGUGACGUCCUGGCUCAUCUCGCUGUACAUCAAAGCAGCCACAUGUGGCUCCUGAGCACUCAGUAUGUGGCUAGGAUGAAUGAGGGAUUGAAUCUUUAAUUUCAUUUAAAUUGAAUUAAUUUAUAUGUGACUAGCUCCAUGCCCUCACACGUAGCUGCUGAAUGGGCUGCCCAGAUGUCUAACAAAGGAGGUUCUGGACUUGGGCUGUGGCUGGGCUUGGGGUUGAGAUACAAGCUGCUAUGCGCAUGCCCUGAUGCAUGCCCUCUACCAUGCACGUGCCUUGGUGUAUGCCCCAUGCAGGGAGGGAGCCAGAAACAAAGAGCUCAAUAAUUUAUUCUCCACCUUAAGUGUUUUCUAGGGUCAAGUAAAGUGGAGCAGGUUCAUUUUCAGCCCUUUGCACGGGAUCAGGACUAUGAUGGCUUGAAUGAGAAAUGUCCCUUACUAGCUCUCAUAUUUGAACCUCUGGUUCCCUGUUGAUGGUGUAGUUUGGGGGGAAGUUUAUGGAACCUUCUUAUUGGAGGAAGCACUUCACCAUGGGCAGACUUUAAGAGUCCAUAAUCUCAGCCCAUUUUCAGUUCUUCAUCUUCCCCACUCCCUCUGUUUUGUGUCUUCUAUUAAAGAUGUCAUCUCUCGGCUUCCUGCUCCAGCUGCCCGCUGCCAUGCCCACUGCCAUGCCUCUCCUGCAAUGGUGAACUCUUCCACUGGCACCGUAAGCCAAAACUCUGUCUCCCAUAAGUUGCUUUUGGUAUGGAGUUUUAUCACAGCAACCAAAAGUAAUUAAUGCAAUAACCUUGGCCAGGUCACCAGCAUCAGAAGGAAGAGCUGGCAAUGCAGUAUCUGCCUGUGUCAGGAGCUUUAAAUGAGUGACCGCCCUUGUCUUCUGGGACACCUGGCUCAAGGUUGGAGGAGAAAACAGAGACUCAGCAAACACUAUUAUUCUUUCUAAGCUCCAUAGCGUGAAGGUAGCCAAGUAGGGAUUCAAACCUGGGGCCACUGAGUCCUGUGACUUUUCCCUAGAAGCCUGGAGUGUUGCCUUUUUGCUUCUGGAUGACUCUGACAUUUACCAGAUGGUUGCUGGGAUGUCCUGGAAUUGAGAGGUCAGCAGCAGAAGUGGUCUGUUUGACUUGGUCCUGUGCUGAUGGGCUUGUGACCAUUCUCAGCAUCUUUAGUUCAGCUGUAUCCCACCAGCAUGGCUCUAGUGUUAAAAAUAACCAAGAAUGACAAGAACUGGGGUUCUGCGGUCAAAAGGGCAACAUAUGUUUCUCAUUUUGUCUUUUUUCUUCCUUAAUUCUCUAGACAGGGAUUAAAUAUAAAAAAGUACUUCCUGACCAAAGACUUGGAAGAUACUGGGACGGUCAGUCACUGGUGAACUUACUGUCCAGAGAAUUCUUUUACAGGUCUCGUUGAAUUUUUAAAAAGUCUUUGACAGUAUAAUACACAUAUGUAAUA